rnacentral:lncRNA from 1 species
UUGCUGACCGGUGUGCCUAACGAGCGGCCGGCACCUGCGGCGCUGUCGGGGAUCCGUGCGAGCCCCGCGGGGCUGCGUGACGCUCCUGAGCUCCGGGAGCACCGCGCUGCUCCGCCGUGCGGGCGGGAGGGGGGACCGGGACCCGGACCCGCCGCAGGACCCCGCCCGUUCUCCCCCGUGGAACGAGGACGGCGCUCCGCUGUCCGCUGGAGCAGCACGCUGAGGGGCUGUAACCGCGCGUUCCCAGCACUCGGGUUCUGCACGCCAUGGGGAGCAGCCAGCAGGUGCGUGCGGGAGGAGCUGCAGUCUGGAUACCUGCCCUGCUCAGGUACGGAAGCGUCCCCUGCCAGGGGGGGACUUGUCUGCCACGGGCCUGAUCCUGUUCCCACCAAAGCACUGCCGGUGCCGUCGGUGGAAGCGGAGCAGGCUGACGGCAGCUGAGCGGCGUCUGGCAGGACCAGGCUCCCUGCAGGAGGCCUCCUGCUGGGCCAAAACGUGUGAAAGUCUUCCCCUGAUCUCGUAGGACGUGCUUGACAUCCAGUACCGGUGGUGACAAGACGAAGACGAGAGGCAACGUGUAUGAGGCUACUGAAAAUAGCAAAUCAAACAGUUGGUCAGGAAACCAGCUGAGGAGUGUGCCAUCCACUUAACUGGGAAGAGACGUCUCCAUUCCCUGGCUCACGCUCAUCCUUCCAUGCAUGGAGGUACGAUACUUGCCAUGAUUUUUUGUGCUGGGUGUCGGUCUGUGUUGUUAUGAGUGGUUCUUUGAUACAAGUGAAGAGCAAGAGUAGUAAAAAAAAAAAAAAAAAAGUGAGAAUAGGUUGUUGGUGGAUGUAACUCACAGUCUCUGUAACAGCAUCAAUCUCUUCAUUUCUAAAGGCUGUUGAGGACUUUUCUCUUUAAACCUAAGUAGUUUCUGCAGUAUCCCG